AUAAAAUUCUUCUUUUAUGUAAUUUUCUCUAUCUUCCAUUGGUGCGUAUGCAUUGAUCAAAGUAGUAUUAAAGAAUUUUGUUUUCAUUCAAAGCAUACAGAUCAAUUCAUUAAUUGCUCUAAAAUCAAGUAUAUUAUUUUUCACUGAAUUUUCGACUGUGAAUGCCACUCCAUACUCAUGUCCACCCUCUUUGUUUUCACUGUAUGUGUUUUCAUAUCCAUUAUUCCUGUACCAUGCCAUCUCAUUUCCUGAAUGGCUGUGAUUUGUGUGUUAAACUUCUUUAGUUGUGGUAAUGGACUUUUCAAGGCUCCUGUUUUGUAUAAAGUUCUUACAUUCCAUGAACCUAUUCAUAUAUCCAUUUACUGUUGCUAUGAUUGUUUCCGAGUUUUCCUUUCCUGGUUCCGAGGCUUAGCUUGAAGUUUCAUAACAAAUAUUUUUUUACGGAGUGAGGUUGUCAGCCUCACGCCCAACCCCCAGCAAUCCCGAUGGAGUGAUGUUUUUCUGUCAGGGCUGCCUCCCUUUGAAAGCAUCAGGAACUCGUUUGUUUGCCCUUGCAAGACUUAGCUGUAAAACGUUGCCCGGCAGUCAUGACUUGGACAUGCACGCAUCAGACUUGGUAGGAAUGAAUGGCAUUUCCCGAGUUUUUAAUGGUACAUAUCUGCCAGCAGGAUAUGUACCCUCGAGACCACAUACUACCCCUUUGGCUCCUGAGAAAGGUGCCUUUUCACCACAACGCUGAAUACCGAUGACAAAACUGAUAUUCUUCUGCAUGGCAUAAGCUUGGACAUCAUGACGCAGAUACUGGAUUAUGUUUCUUUAAGAAAUGUAGACAUCCACUGUGACAAUGUGUGUCAGCUGCUUGUGACUCCUGAUUACUUGUGUAUGCCAUGUGUUCUUGAACUCUGCUGAAACCUUGGACCUUGACAUUUGUAUUGGCAUCAUGCAUUUCGCAAGGUGUUAUUUCUGCACUGACCUUGAGUCUCAAGCUCAUCGAUUCACAUUAUGCCACUUCGAGGAAGUGCUUGAGAAGAGUGAGGAACUGCUAGAACUGCCUGCAGAAGAGUUGUAAGGGAUAAACGGGUCAGAGGAACUAAACGUAAAGGAUGAAGAAGUUGUGUGGGAGUGUAUACUUAAGUGGAUUGACCAUGACCCAGAAAACAGAAAAGGCCACAUUGCGGACCUGUUGAAGAAUGUUGGGCUAGGACUGCGUGACACACUUUCCUUCCAGGAAAAGGUAGCAGAUCACCCAUAUGUGAAGGAAGAUCAGCGGUGCAGACCCAUGAUCUUGGAGACGUUAACGUUCCUGUACGAUGUACAGAUGAUAAAAAUGAAACACAAGUAAUUCUUGAUGCCAAAGAUUGCCCACCCAUGAAUCCCACAGGACAUUCUGUUUGCUAUUGGAGGGCUUAGUGAUGGAAACCCAAUACAUUUGAUUGAAACUUAUGACAUGCAAGCAAACAGAUGGAUUAAGGUAAAAUAAUUGUUGGUGGAAUGAUAGUGAGAAUGAAUUGAACUCAGUAGAAGCAUAUGACCCAGAGACCAAUCAGUGGACACUCACUCAUUACACCAAUGCUUCUUGCACCUACUGGCAUAUCUUGCAUCGCCUUCCACAGCAGGUAAGAAUCUGAGAUAUUUUGAGUAAUAUUCCUUCACCCUUCUUACACAACUUGCUGUUGUGUAAUCAUAUUUUCCUAGUUUUCUUACAGUGCUUGCGAUUUGUGAGCAGUAUUUUUCUCAUGUUAUUGCAGAAUUAGUUUGUCAGUAUUUUUUCCUCUUAUAGUGAUUUGUGGGUUUGAUUACAUUCUCCACUAAGGUAACUAACAACAGCAGAUAAUCUACUGUUGUAUGUCCAAUAUUCACACAAUCCAAAGUUUAAAGGUAUAUAUUUUUAUAUUUGGAAACCUAAAUGGUCUCACGCCCUAAAUUUCGAUAGUAGAGCAACUAUCACAUCUUAAUAUGACUUGUGCAAUGAGUAACACCCUAAGAUGACAAACAGGAAGGUCUUGAUACAUAGCCGCUAGCGAUGAUUCAAGGUUUGUAGAUGUAACCUACGCAUUGUCACACUUUGUGCUUAAUGGAACAUGAGGAUUACUGAUGUAACCUCUGGUGAAAGCAUAAGUCACCCAAAUUAUUCACCAACCAUUCAAUUAUUCACCAUUCAGGUUUCACUCUUCCACCCCAGACCUUUGUACUACUUUUAAUUAGUAUAAAAAGAGGCAGAAAUUAGGCAGUAAUCGUCGAGACGAGCAGCUGGGUAGCCAACACCAACCAAGCAUGUUCUGCAUCAUAGUCGGCAUUUGCGAGUAUUGUCUGUGUUCCUGUCACUAAAAGCAUGAAUAGGAAGUCAGUAAAUACUUCUGGAUAAUUGUAUAGGACUUAGCACCAUGUGACUUCAUUUUGUUUCCAAAACUCAAAGCACCACUGAAAGGCUGUUAUUUUGAUGAUGUGGACACCAUUCAAAGGGCUGUAACAAGAGUACUGAACAGAAUUCCAGACACGGCCAUCCACCAUUCCUUCCAGUUGCUUCAUGAUCAUUGUGUGCAGUGUGUAGAUGCAGGAGGAAGCUACUUUGAAUAAACAAUGCUCAGAUUGCUUAUA